GCACAUAAAGGUCUUGCUCCAUUCUACCAUCACUAUUACAACUGGGCAUCUGUGUCCCUGCUUAUUGGGUGUUGAGCCAGUGGAAGUCUGUCUUUCUGAAACUGCUUUUCCCUUUAAAAAUUCUAUUUCUCAAUUGCUUUUUUAUUUAUAUUAAUAUGAAUUAUGAUUAAACAGUGAGGAACAUGUAAUUUCUUUUUUUUUUUAAUUCAGAAAAAAAAAGAAGUGGUUUUGCUUGAUUAAUUGCUUGGUUUUGUUUUAUUGUUUCAAGGGGUUUUUUUCUGCUGUCUCACUCUUAAGCAAGCUCCUAAGACCACCUUUAGUUUGCUCUUCUAGGACAGCACUAAAGAAUUUUCUUUUUACAGUGUAACACUUUCUGCUAUAGGUCUGAAGUUCCAAAACUCAAAAGUAUUUUUACAAGGAAACUGGACUUUUAAUUCCUUCUUUUGUUGGCACCUCUUACCAGGUCAGAUUAUUAAACAUAACUGACGUGUGUGAAAGAAACGUGGAGAAAGUCCCAGAGUAUCUUAUGAUAGGGUAUUUAUAGUGAGCUAUUCAUGGACAUGGGCUCUGCAGAGAUUGUUUACAAUCCUGAAAAUGUCACUUUCAACUCAAUAAUCGCUUCUUCAAAGGCAGAGAUUUUCCCUCUUUCAGAAGGUGAGGAAACACAGUAUAUUUUCUCAAUUCAUAGGAAAAUUAGUAGUAUGUUUAGGAAAAAAAGUAGUUUAUGUACUCAUUGAGCCACAGUAAAAUCAAUUACUAACAGUUUCUUGCUGUAUAUGUGUUAAUAUAUUUUUCUUUUUUGCUAUAUGUGCAAGGCCUUACAAUCACACAUUAGGUGGACCAGGUAACAAAUUAAAUUAUACAGAUUUGCUAUGAAUUGCUGCUGUCAAACUUUAAGAUAUUUCUAGAAUUAGUCCAAGCUUUGUAGUUGGCUUGUUGACAACUUCCUUAAAUUUCCUGUACUCAUUCAUUUUGCCAAGUUGUUUAUUAGCUUUCAAUUUUAUUUAUUUAUUUUAUUUUACCUUGCCCUGUAGUUUUGUUUUGUUUUGUUUUUUCAGGCCAGCUCUCUUGAAAGACAGAAGUGGAAAUUUUGAUAAGGUAAAACACAAGAGAGGUUUGAGCCUAACAGAGCAGCUGAGAUCUUGAAUCUGCCAAGAACAGCGUGACUGCUUAAUCAUAUAACAGUGUAGUCAUUUAUUUUAAACUGUGUUUCAUUUCUCUUGAUCCUGACACGGUGUUUGCUGUUUCUAUUGUUCCAGAUCUAACCUGAAGAUUUAAUAUCUGCCUCUAGUUAAAAAAGCAGUGUUUCCCUACAGAAGUGAUUCAUGUGGUGCUGAUUUGCCAUGAAUAAUUCUGUGUAUAUGGUUGAUGGUGAUUCUGAUGAGGAAAUCUCUACCCAGAGAGCUAUUCAGGAAAGCUUACAAGAUAGGCAUAAAUUUGAAACAAGUGGCAGUGCAACAGAGAUUGAAAGUUUCCAGUAUACUGCAAGUAAAGAACAUGGGCAGAUCAUUGCAGCGAUUCGGACAGGCCAAGAGGAGGCCUUGAAGAAGCUGGUGAGGCACAGUUCUGCUGUUGAAGAAGCAGAUCAGCAAGGCUGGCUUCCUGUGCAUGAAGCUGCAGCACAGCUAAAUAAGAACAUCCUUGAAAUAACUUUAAAAGCCUCCCGUGACAUUACGUGGGAACAGUCCACUCUAAAAGGGGAAACACCUCUCUUGGUGGCAGUAAGGAAUUGUUUUGUGGACAAUGUCCACUUUCUCCUGCUCAAUGGCUGCAAUCCCAAUGUUAAAAAUGAAGAGGGAGAUUCUCCUUUAGUUAUAGCAAUUAAACUUGAUUCCUAUGACAUUGCCUCCUUGCUGCUGCGAUCUGGUGCCAGAGUGAAUUUGCGCUGUGUCCAUGAGAGAACUGCUCUGCACGAGGCAGCCAGACUGGGCAGGAAGGAUCUGGUUCAGCUGCUCCUGGAGUCUGGGGCAGAUCCUGACCCCCGCAGUGGAUAUGGGCUCACACCUCUAGCACUGGCUGCACAGAUGGGACAUACAGAAAUUAUGGAGCUCUUACUGCAAAAAGGUGCAGAUGUUCUUUCACAGGCAAUGGACUGUGCUUCUAUAUUGUUUGAAGCAGCAGGAGGAGGAAAUCCAGACUCUGUGAGUCUUUUACUAGAAUAUGGGGCUGAUGCCAAUGUACCAAAGCACUCGGGUCAUUUGCCAAUCCACAGAGCUGCAUAUAGAGGACACUUUCUAGCUCUAAAAUAUUUAGUUCCAGUGACUGAUUUUUCUGCCAUUAAAGAAAGUGGGAUAAGCCCAGUUCACUCAGCAGCAGCAGGAGCACAUCCCCAGUGCCUUGAGUUUCUCCUGCAGUCGGGUUUUGACGCCAAUUUUAUGCUGGCUCAGAGAGUUCGCAAGGGCUACGACGACCACCGCAAAUCAGCGCUGUACUUCGCAGUUUCCAACGGGGAUAUCUGCUCAACGCAGCUGCUGCUCAACGCCGGAGCCCUGACAAACCAAGACCCCAUCAACUGCCUCCAAAUAGCCUUGAGAAUGGGCAACUACGAGUUAAUGAACCUGCUGCUCCGCCACGGGGCCAACGUCAACUACUUCUGCCGCGUGAACACCACGCACUUCCCCUCAGCCCUGCAGUACGCCCUCAAGGAUGAGGUGAUGCUGAGGAUGCUGCUGAACUACGGCUACGACGUGCACCGCUGCUUCGACUGCCCGCGGGGCAGCGGCGAGCACGCCCAGUACGUGACGGACGGCUGGACCUCCACCGUCAUCAAAGACACCAUGUUCUGUGAAGUGAUAACCUUGUCCUGGCUGAAGCACGUGUCUGGGAAAGUAGUGCGAGUCAUGUUAGAUUACGUUGAUCAUGUUAAGAUUUGCUGGAAGCUCGAAGCAGUUCUCAAAGAACAGGAACUCUGGCCAGACAUCCAUUUCAUUUUAACAAAUCCCCGCUCUCUGAAGCACCUUUGCCGUCUGAAGAUCCGGGCGUGCAUGGGCCGGCUGCGCCUCCGCUGUCCUGUCUUCAUGUCCUUCCUUCCACUGCCAAACUGCUUGAAAGAUUACAUCCUGUACAAGGAAUAUGAUCUUUAUGGACAGGAAAACUACACAGGGAUCUACAACCUCAACUGUGCAUAAGUAUUUGUCCUGUACUCUGAAGGGAAUUUAAUGUGGAUAAGACUGUUGUGCUUUUUUCUUUUGGGAUUUUCUCUCCUCUGUAUAUUAAGGAAUGCCGGCGCUCUCCCCUCACCCCCUGAAGAAAAUAGUGAGACCCCCCAAAAUGUAAGUACUGGUGAUCCCAUUCUAAAGAUCUCCUGGACUAUGACCUAUCUGCAAGUUAUGGUAACAGUAUUUUAAUGCCUGGUGUGACAAGGAAGUGUACAAUACAGGGCUGCAAGACUUGUGUUGUGGCCAAGUUAAGGCUUGUCAUACCAGAUACCACUACCCUCAUUCCAGGAUUAAACUCAGGGUUUAGUUAAAGGUCAGGGAUUUGACUCCAGGGACACAGUUUUUUCUCUCUUGUACUGCUUCCUUUCUCGUGACAAUAAGUUUUUAUUUGUGAAGUCCUACAGUGAAGUUCUGAAGAGCAACUUCAGUAAUUCUUUUCUUCACCCAAUAAAGCAAACUCCCAUUCUAGUCAAUCAAAUGGGAUUAAGCUUGAGAAACCUCUGCUUAUCACUGCAGGUCUUGUGACAUACCAAUGUUUCAUCAAGGUGGCACUGCUAAAAGCUGUGUUAGUUCUGCAGCUCCUUCUCAGGUACUGCUAUGUCACAUCCACCAUGAACCUGCACUAUUUUCUCUAGAACUGGGUUCUCCUUACACAGUGCUUUCCAAAGUCAUGCUUGCAAUUUUUGGUUUCUCUCUAUAGAGCUGGAGCUUAAACUUUUGGAGUACUGUCAUUUUAGGAAGUCUUACAGGAGUCUUAGAAAGACCUAGAGCAUGCCUGUUCCUUCUAAAAAUACUGCAAAUAUCAGUUCCUAUUUUAGAAAAAAAAAAAGAAGUUCAUCCACACAUUUGGCAUUAGUAGUAUUUAUUCCUUCAUAAUCAAGUAAGCAUAGAUUUUUUUUUCUAGUUAUACAUGCAUCUUUAUCACAGAAGUUACAGAAUUCAAAAGUCUGCUUUUCCCCAGAAAAAUCUACAAACCUUAUAAAAUACAAAUUUAACCAUAAUGUGGUUAUGGCCCAUGGUUUUUUACAUGGUGUUUAUCCCAUAAUAAACUAACUCAGCCUGUGAAGAUAUGUCCAAUGCCCAUGGUAAUGGUUGUGCUGGUAGAGCCUCUGCACUUGGCUUGUUCCACAGAGCCCUCAGAGCCCUGUCACUGCCCCACCACAGGCCCUGCCCAGCCAGCUGCCACAGCUCCUGCUCACCUUCAGUCUCUGAUUGUUGCAAAAAUAAGUUAAGACCAUUCCCAAGUGUAACAACUUCCUCUGAGGUUAUCUGGCUAUUACUAUAAAAAUUAAGAGAACUGAGCUACACUUGACAAUGGAGGGCUAUACCUGCAUGUCAGAACUAAUUUCAAUGGAAGGGAACACAUCCUGUCACCACCUGUAAUGGUACCAGUAAUGGAAAGUCAGUAUGAUGAAGAAUGCAGGAGGCUUUUGCAUCAGUACAAGUCUCACCCAGAAAGUUACUAUAGUUAAGCUUUUAUUUAAAAUAUAAAAUGCUGACUGGAGCAGAAGGUUACUAUCCAUGUUUCCAAGAGUUAAGACACAACAAUCAGAGUUGACAUAAAUAUGCCAUUGGUUGUUCUUAAUACAGCUAUUCAGGGAAAAUGUGCAAGUCAGUCUCAAACACUGCAAAAAUCACUUACACUUCACCAGAACAGGACCAAUCCAGAACACCAUCAUAAGAAUUUGACCACUCCACUCUAUUAUAAAAAUGACCAGAAAGGUUGUACAAAAUUCUCAGCUUGCAAUAUAAACUUCAUUAGGAAUACAAGUGCAUUCACAAUGAUACACUGACUUAUUCUUGUCAUGACAACUGAGAUACCACUGUGGCAGAGAAAAAAAUGCCAACUUAGUGCUUAAUUAAAACAAGAAGCCUUGGGGACUUAAUUACCUUGCAAGAAUUUUUGUAAUAUAGAGCAAGAGAAAGAAUAUAAAGUAUCAGCUUUUGCUGUUACACUAGACAAUAUCUAAAUUCAAUAAGCAGUGGCAGUUUUCUUUCUCUAGGUGAACUAUUUCCUAAAUAAUAAGAGACUAUAUUUUAGCAUAGUUUUCACCAUUAGCUUGUCCCAAAUGCUGUGCAACUAAUUAAUCAGUAUUUACCUUAAGCAUUGACAGAAUUUACCAUAAACAGUCAAAUUUAUUUCUUUAUAUCCAUGUAUGUAAAUUACAGCUUCAUAAAUGGCAUCAGCUGUUUCACAAUUUUCAGCUCUAGAUUUACAUCCACAUAAAGAGGAAAUCUGACAGCCCUUUAGAAGGGAAAUGUUUCUUAACUCUGAAAUAUUACUGUUAGACAGUAAAUUGUCCUGAUACAAUUUCAAACUCAAACAGAUUAAGGAAGUGAGACUGUGACAUGCAACUGACUUUUCACUCCUGAUCAUAUCCAGUUGGAUAUGUUUGAGUAGUACAUGACUUUGACCUUGUCCUCUGCUUUGGACUUGGCCAAAUCUAGCAGUGACCACAGAGGAGUGCCAGCUAUCAUCUGUAAUGCAGUAAAAUGUAUACCCAUAAGCACACCUGAUCUAUUUGUAUAUUCAUGCCAUUACAUACAUAAAGAGUGUAUGUAGCUUGAAGCAGCUGACAGCAAGGCUGGCUUGGUCUGCAGUGUGUAGAUUUACACAGUGUAACAAGCUUCAUAUCCUCUUAUCUAAGGGAUAAAAGUUUGGCAGUAAUUAUGAGGCUGCAGUUAGCAACACAACAAGUUAGUCCUAACAACACUGCCAAUUCAGUACCUACAUGAAGUCACUUCAAAAUCAUGGACUUGAAAGAAUAUUUUCAGGAGUGACUGAAGUAAAGUAGAUGCACAUGAAGCAAACUACAGCUUCAGCCAAAGGUGUUUGAAAGAUCAGUUUGUGAACAAAAGGCAGUACAGAAUAAUAAACAGGAGAGUUUAUUUAAUCUCUUGUAAACUAGGAAAGGAAACCAUUUAGUAGUUUAGUUACAAUAAUAAAAUAUUCUGGUGGUGAAAUUCUACCACAGCAGUUCCCAGCAGACCAUGAGGUGUUCCUACUAUAAGUUACAUACUCUCAUGGAAAAUACCAAGCAUCAUUCUGAUUUUUUUUCAACAAAACUGUUUUCUAAUUAAGUAGUUCUAAACCUGAUAGGAAAAAAGGUCAUGUAUGAAACCUCAGCAGCUGUUUUUGCCUUGAGCUAGUUCUAAUUACAACCUGUGUGAUCCUCCCUAGGCAAAGCUCAGUCAUUCUCACCCUCCUGCUAACUCAGUCACCAUUCCUGACUUCCCCAGCCCUGCUGACAUGCCCUUUGCUCUUGCAGCUUUCAUCAUUACCCCAGAUGCUUUUAUACUUUCUUGCUCAUUUUACACUGGUGAAAUUCCCCUAAAUAAGCAAACAACCCCUACAUUUCACUCAUGCACAUCAAUCUUUUAGUGGUUAAGAUGAAAAUCAUCCAAUGUAAGUGAAAUGUAUUUCACUCCUAAUCUGUCUGUUUUAGAAAGCUACAUUUAAUGGCAUAUAUGGAAAGCUUGAAAAGCAAAUGGAGUAAUUCCAGUAUUUACUGAUAAAUCCAAAAAUUCCUACUUGACAGUAAAUUCACCUGCCAACUUUAUUAGCUUUCUUCCUCAUCUUUGCAGAUUUAUAGCUAUAUGAGUAAUGAUAGGUUUUGCAAAAAAUACAGUAAUCCCAUUUUCUGACAUUUCUUCAAUAAGGCUAAUGCAAAACAGGCUGCACAUCAGAAAUGCUCUUUCUGAGUGCUUGUCUAUUCUUUGUCCUCCCUCUGGAGCCUGGGCUACUGCAGCUCCAGUGCUUAACACAAUUAGUCCUUCUCUGACAAGCUGAGGACUGGGUUCUAGACACUAGAGAUCACUGAUUUCAUAGGCUCCCUGUGCUGUUUCCAAACUGCUUCAUCCUCAGUACACACUUGAGAAAAAUACAAUUAAGACACAGUAACCUUGAGCUACCCAGUGAUAUGAUUUGAUAGAAAACAAAUAUCGGUAAACAAACACAAACAAACAUGAAUUGGAAUAAUGUGCAGAGACAAACUGCCUUGCCACUCUCUGUAAGCCUUGAUUUAAGCACAAAAAGGGAAAAAAAUGAAUUUGGCGCAUCUCUGUAAUUUUUGUUGGCAAGAAUAAAAAUAGUCUCUUAAAAAUGGGAGCUGAAAAUGGAAGCCUAGAUAUGAAAUAAAAAUGCCACUGUCUUUUACAAGAAGCCUCAGGUUGGUGUGGUCCAUGUGGCAUUGUGCCAGCUAAAUCCAGCCACAGGGCAAUACUAUGUGACCAACUGGGCAACAGCAAAAGCAGAUAUUUCUACAAGUGACUGGCUACUCUGGGGAUGAAAAUCACACUGGAAGAGGAUCUGGUAACCAAUUCAGGAAGAGAACUCAGUGGUUCUCUGCUCCCCAGCCUCCUCCCCUCCUUUUUCAAGGCAGAGCCCUUUGGUGGCUGCUCAAGCCCCUGUGGUGUAAAACCUGUGCCCAGAGCUUCUGCAGCUCCAGCUGCCUCUGCUCCUGCCCAGGCACUGCUGCCCUGUCACAGGAGCUGAGGCCACCAACUCUUGCACACAAAGUCACCUCUCCAGCAGCAUGGGCAGGAGGCUUUGGCCAAUGCAGGCACUCCCAGGAGUUAGAAGAGCCCUCUGUGCACCUACAGCCAUCCAGAAAACACAACCUGAGAUUCCUCACUUACUUUAUCAGCACUGAACAGCUCCAGCUAGGAAGGGCUGGGCCACCACCAGCUGCUGAGGAGAUACUCUGAAAAUUGCUUCCAUUCCUGAACACCAGAAAUGCCCUGCAAUGAACUGUAAAUCACUCAUAACUGUUAUAUUAUAACUUGGAAUAUAAGUAUAUUCUCUUCUCUCUACAUAUCCUGUUAUUUUCAUGCCACUAUUAGAGAGCUAUCUUCUGUUCCUCUGAAUUUUAAUAUUUAUAGUAAUUAGUGCAAAAAUAAAUAUUUCUCUUCAAACAAGAUUUCUCUUCUGGUUCAAAAGGUGAAUGCACAUCUAAUACUAUACAAAAUAAAUAUUACACAGGGUAUGGAAUAUGGAGUGCAGAUUACAAGCUGUAAACAGACACCACUUUGAAAAAUGCUUUCCAGAACCGACUCUAUGAUGUAGGAUUGGUAUCAUCUCUUACUUCAGAACUACUAAAUUCUGUUUGCAAAAUCAUAAAAACAAUGAAGAGCCUCAACUCAUUUCCAGUAGACGCAGUGUACUAGCAGCAAGGCAUUUACAUAUGCAGAAGAUUUUGAUAUGACGGAAUUCAAGAUGUUCCUGCAACUCUAAGCAUGUUUUAUAAAAUUGAACUCAAAGGUUUACAGCUUUUUAUUCCAAGUACUGGGGAAAAACCAAGAACAUGGCACUUGUGCUACAAGGCUAUAUACACGACUCUUAUCAUUUGAUGAGGAAUGCUCUUCCUCAUGCAACAAAGUUCAACUGCAUCUCAUCAGCUCUUAUCUAGGUCUGACAGUAUCUUUUUCUCCUGUUGAAACAAGUUUUUUUUGGCAUUGUAUUCACCAAAAAAAAUUAGAAAGGAAAUCAAGACAGUAUCAUACUGUGCAAAAUGAAAGAAAAAAGAUCCUUCUGUUUAGAACUAUUGCACAUCUCUCUGAUGUUAAAGGGGAUCCUUCUUUCUAAAUCUAAGAACAGCUAUGUAUAACAAACUGGGUAAAGCUUAGCACUGUCUUAUUUGGACAUCUCACUUUUGUUUCCAGCAAGGUGUUCUCCCUACUGCAGUGUAAAGAACAAAUUUCAAUGUUUGGGUUUUUUUGGUUUUUGGGUUUUCAGUUUUGCUUCCAAAGCAGUCAAUUGCACAGAAGUAAGUGGGGAAAACACCCACAUUUUUCCCAUACUGCAGAGAAGCCUUGAGAAAACAUAUGUUUGUAAUAAAUGGCAGCAUCACUGUGCUCCAUCUGGCAUACAAGAGAAAUUAUACUGGCAGGAAACAGAAAUCACUUAACUGAGAAAGAAAAAUCAAGGCUUAAUAGGGUCUAUAUAUUGUGAAGUCUUUUCUAUAAUAUGACAGACCCUCCACCUACAUUUCACCUCUUGUAGAACUUGUGCCAUUUCACCAGAUAUAUUAAUGAUUCCAAUUUUAAUGAAGCAGGCAACCUUAGGCUUCAGAUUCUCUCUUCUUCUUUCCAUCUUCUCCUAAAUCACUGUCUUCUGACUGGCUGCUGCUAAGGACUACAAACUGUCCUUCUGUGCUGCUCUGGUUGGAUCUGCUGGAAGCUGCUAUCAACCGGCUCUGCUCCUCCAAGUCCUAAGUUCAGAAGGGGGGUUGGGAAAUCAGAAAAAGAGUAUUACCCUUAAAGCCAUCUGCAAUGGACACAGGAUACCAUUAUUACGAUUUCUAAAUGAUCUAUCAAUACUAUCAGUAGACAGCUUUGGACAAAACUGCAAAAUAAAGUAAGUAGAAAAAACCUGAUAUUAAGAAAUAAUGAUGAAAGGUACCUUCUCAAUUUGCUUUUGUUUAUUCAGUUCUUUUUGCUGUUUCUCUUUGACUCUAUCUAUUUCCUUCUGCUUUUCUGAGGCUUUUCGAUCCUAAAGAGCAAAAAUGCAAAUAAAGUCAGUAACAACAGCCUGAGAUGUUUUGAGAAACUACUGACUGAUAUGAGCUUGCUCAAGACUGUGAUUUCACUGUUUGGAAUAUUCUGCUUUUAAAGGACUGGUAUGGUUGUUAAAAGUAGCAAAAUGAACCCUAUAUUCAAUAUUGUUCUACAGUAGAUAUUGGUCAGUGUUAAAUCCUAGGAAAAAAGUCCCUUAAAAUAUACAACAGUAUUGCUGCAUCUAGAGGCAUCUUGCAGAAUACAGUCUAUUACACAUAUUUAAAUAUGUCCCCUUCCUUUCAUUCCCCAUCAUCCUUUGCCCCAAAAAGGUUCUUACCAGUUCUGCAUGUAAAGCUAUCUGUUUGGCCAAUCCAACAGAGUCACAAAUCUAAACACAAAACAGAUGGAAAUAAUUAAAAAUGCCUUUAAAUUUAAGCCAGAAUCCCAAAUUAAAUACAACAGCACAUUAAAGCAUUUGCAGGCACUUAAAAUGACAGGUUUAACUUUUUCAGUACCUAAAAAAGGCCUUAGACAGCUUGAAUGAAUCUAGCAUCUUGGACCCCAUAUUCACAACUGAUACAAGUCACAACCAUCACCAAUACCUUUUCCCCUUCAUUAUUUGACUCAAAUAUAUAGCAGAUGGAAGUCUGGCGGCUCUCCACUCUCCCUCCCGAGGUUCUGAGCACAAAUCCAAACAGGCGCUUAUUCUCCUGGUGUGUAGCAUACAGCACUACACUGGGCAAAGGGAACUGCCAAAAGGAUCAGACAGGCAGAGAUUAAAACUGAUUCCAAAUGUUUGCCCCAUGAGGUUUCAAUACACUGCACAUUAAUUAAUGCACAACCACAGCACAAGAAGUUAUCGACCAAAUGUAAUUAUGAAACACAAACAGAUUAGACAGCAAGGACUAAAUUAUUCCAAAGACAAGCAAAUGUCAAAAAACAUACUCCACGUAAGAAAAAGGGACUACAUUUGCAGUGUGAGUCAGUCAUCUUCCUAAAAGUGUAUACACCCCUGUUUUAUUUUGUUUUAAUCAUUCAUUAUAGUUACAUUUGUGACUAAGCUUUCAAUACUUAGUUCCAUAUAAAGGCACUACUAUUCAAAAACCUUUACUGCAAUUAGCUCAGUUCUCCUAAUUAUAUAAGCAAGAAAAAAAAACCUCAACCCAUACAAAUCACAUACCCUCAUUAGUUUGUUACAAGAAAAACUGUUUUGCAUUCUUAUUCCUAAAAGAGGUUGGACUUCAAAUUAUCUUUUUAAGACUCAUCAAACAAUAAACUUAAAAAUUCUGAGAGUCCCCACCACAGCUGCUGUGAACUGAAAGGAUGAGUUUUCCUGGAAUUAGAUGUGUGCAUUUAGUACAGGGGAGAUACCCUCAGCUGAUGUGCCUCACUUGUAAAAAGUGACAGCUUUGGAGCAUUUUUGAACUUAAUGUCAAAACAUUAAAAAGAAAACAGAGAAGCCAAACAGCAAACAUAGCCUCUUGGACUUCAGCACUAAUGUGACUCCAUCAUUAAUGUUCUCUCUUUACUAUUUUAUCCUUUCAGAUCACAGGGAGAAGGGAAUCUCAAAAGCCAAUUUGACCUAUUGAAAUCACUCCCCUAAACCUGAUUUGCAGGCGUUGCUAAAUGUCUGCAUUGGUUUCCUAAUAGCACUGGAAAUUUGGCUGGCAAUCCCAUGCUAUCAGUGAUUUUUGCUAACAUCUAAUAAUAAUAUUUUUAAAGUAAAAUAAUUACAUUGCUGGGUAUUUAUCUUAAAAUGGAAAGUUACUUACUCGUAGUCUUGUAACUUGUGUCUGUGGAUCAAUUAACCUAAAAAUUUGUUUUUAAAGACAAACCAGAAAGUAAAUUUUACCAAAGUGCAAGAAGAUCAUUCUGUAAAUAAUCAUCAGUAGAAAUCAGGAAGCAAACUUACUUUAAACAGUCACAGGUGACUAACAAGUGUGACUCUGUCAUCCUGAAAACGUUGUGGAUGGCGCGAGCUGCGAGUAUCUGACGCAUUGUUUCAUAAACAACAUCUGGGCUUUCAUCAGACCUCACUUCCAUGGAGCCGAGAAAUCUUACAAUAAAUAACUGAUGAAGAAUUGAAUCUAAGAAAGAAAGUAUUGAAAAAACCAACUUCAUUUUGGGUUUCCCAUUCAAAACCAAAAGUGGACUGCAGUCAGGAAAACUCCAAGCUCCUCUUAACUUGAAAAGAGAUUAUUCCUACUUGGCAAUUAGAGGUGCAGUUACUACACAGCACACCACACAACUUUGCAUUUCGUUAAUGAGAAUACAAAAGAUGCAAUGAAUCAUUUUUAAAGCAGAUUUUCAGACAGCAGUUUGAUUUAACUUAUCAAAUAGCUUGCAAUGUAAUUAAGCAUUUUAAAACUGGUGUUAAAUUAGAAGAGAGAAGCUAGAGAUGAAAACAACUAUAAUUGUCAAAACUUAUUUUUAUUUUGCAUUGAAGUGAAAUUUUGUUUUACCUUCUGUUUCAGGUUUUGAGCCUCCAGAUUCACCAAAAGGAUUUGUGCGUCUAUCAAAAAAUGAAAACAUUAAAGCAGGAGUCAGAUUACAGGAACCAUUCAUGGAUAGUGCAGUAGUCUCAUGCUGUGUCAAAUGCCAACGUGUAGUGAGUUCACAAACUUGUCAUCUGGAGGAGUAAUGUAUCAUGAACCAUAAGGAGAAGCAAUUCUGUACUUGCUGUAUUUGAGGGCCCACACUAUGGAGAAUACCAGAUAUUAUUGUCCUAUUACUGCCAUAGAAAGUUUUGCUCACAUUUUUUUUUUUUUUUUAAUAUUUAAAUUAAGCCCAAACCAAAACCUCGGUAAUGUUUGAAAAGGAAUCGUUUUAGGGGGUGAAAUUUCACAGUACAGCUUUGGGAAGCACAGCCAAAAACCAGGCCCUUUCAGUACUCCAUUAGAGCACCCACUUCUCAUCACUGUCAAGGUGUUGAAUUACUUACUCAAGAGAAGCCCCUGGGUUUGUUUCAAAUGCAGCUUUCUCAAAACAUCACUGGGGUUUUACUCCUAGAGAUUCAAGAGAAAUGUGGCUAUUUCUGGCUCUCAGAGACAGAAUUACCAUCAGUUACAGAGAAAAGUGAAAAUACUCUAGGCUUCCAAGUCUGCACUUUUCAAAAAGAGUAAAGGAAUAAGCACAGGAAAUGGGGACACUUUAUUUAAAAUUUGUACAGGAAAUUACCCAUUCUCUCUGGCUGAUUGGUAGUUGAAAAGCUAUUGGCAAGGGUUCAAUAUAGUUCAAAUUAAGUUUUUUAUGGGAUUAAUUAAAGUGUUACCUUGAUAGUGUUCUAAAAACAAAUUUGAGGACUAUGAGAAAAAAAAAUUGUUCACAUCCUGACUGCCAGUUUAUUUUAUUAAUUAUCAGAAAUGUUUUAACUAAGAGAUAUCUAGUUUAAAGUAAUAAAAUUUUUCUAGAUUGAAGCCAAGAUGGCAUUGCUACAAUGUUUAGAUAACAUGGACUCAAUCAAGAACCAUCUCAUUAAAGGCUGACCUGUGUAAUUAUAGUAAAAGCAAAUUUUUUCUACCAGCAUCUUCCACUGCUCAGACUUUUCUUGCUGUUUAAUAUUUAACUUGAACAGUAAAUGCAGAAUCUCACAGGAUCUCUCAAAAGGCAAAAAUAAAACUUAAAUAUGUGUCAUCAGUAUCAGAAACCAAUAAAGUACUUAUUUUUUAAUAUCAAAGGUUACCUAUUUCUACAAACACACAGUUCUUUAUUGAAAGCCAUGGCUAAUUGAAAAUACUGAGCUCAACUCUAUCAUUUCUGCUAUGAAAAACAUUAUAACUGAUGACAUCACAGAAUAUUCUGAGCUGGAAGGGACCCCCAAGGAUCACUGAGUCCAACUCUCCAGUGCAUGGCCCACACAGGGAUUGAAUCCACAGCCUUGGUGUUACUGGCACCCUGCUCUGACCAACUGAGCUACACCAGGCUACCACAGGAGCUCAGCUAAGGCUUAAACUUUCCACUUCCUGCAAUACAGUUCAAGUCUGUUUUAAAUCAGUGUAUCCUGAAAGAUCUAGUUGGCUACCUGCUUAUCCUGCUAUACCAAGCAACAAUACAAAGAAAACUGUGGAAAAAAAGGAAAAAAUAGUAGUAUGUAUAUUUCAACUCUGACAUCUGUGAGAUGCAAUUCAAAAUUCAAAUAUUUUCCUAAAGGCAGGGGGAUGUAACAUUUUUGUGACAAGAAUCACAUAAAUUAGUUUUCAUCUCUUUGGCUGUCGUUGUUGUUAAGAGCAGCUGAUCUGCAAAUACAUUUUGUUCAUAUCUGAAUUCUAUAGAUAUAGCUCUAGAAAUGCAGUGAUGACUUACAGGUCUUUGGUUUUUAGUACAUCUCCCACUCAAAUAUAAUAACAAGUAGGAGAAAAUGCUUUAAUGUUUUGGAUGAACUCUUCAGAUGAUUUUAACUUGGCUGUAUGUGAAAUUACUCUAGAAGCCUAGACCAUUUUCACUCACCUUUCAGCUUAAGAGGAGUGUCAUCGUAUGCCAUCAUCACCUGGAGGCAGGGCUACCAAAUUUCUCUUGAGUUUCCAAGAGGAAAUAACCCAAGCUGCUGGGUGAGCAAGCAAUAGGAAAGGAAAAUACUUUGUGAAACCAAAAGUUUAAAAUAAAUCAGUAAAUAAAAGCAUUGGCUGUUAAAGCAAGAAAAGCUGCUGCAAAAUAGAAAACUACACCUUGACUCUAGUGAUGUAAUUAAGCCUUUUUUUUUUUUACAAUUCCAUCUAACAGUUUAACAAAUUGUUUUGCUCCACUGGCCACUGCAAAAUUUGUGACAUCAGUCAGGAAAAAGGCAAUGUGUGUGCUGGAGCUGCAUCUUAAAUGUGGUGUUCUUGUUCACUGCUUUUUGAAUCAGUAACAUUAACUUUAGGGAUUUCUUUCCUUCUCCCUACAUUUCCUACCUGCCCGAUUGCCCUGAUGACUUUGCUUGGCCAGGCAGAUCUUCACUGACUGGAGAUAUUAUGUCAAAUUGGAUGGGAGUGUCAGGGGCAACAAGGGAAUCCAAGGACAGUGCAGAGAGAGCUGUUGAGUCAGACCCCAGUGACCCUGUGCUGCUGGUGCGAGCUGCAGGAGGACGAGAUUGCCUACAACAAAACCAAAAAGGCAAAUUAGGGUAUGUGACUUCAGGAAUUGGACACAUGAGGAAAAUUCUCAUCAUGAAAUCACACAACAAAACAGAUGAUGAAACCAAGCAAAGUGUGCACCAGCUGCCAUUGGGAUUACUUGUAACAAUGGAUGCUCAGCAGUGCUUCAGCAGUGAAAGGUGUGUUCAGGAAAUUUUCCUCUGGCCUAUCAAAGAUUUAGUUCUGAUCACAAAAAUAUUUGUAGGUUUGUUAGGCUUUUUUUUCCCCCUGGAACUUUACCCAGGAUUUUCUUUAUACAUGUGCACGUCAAGUGCCCUCUGGCUGCUUCACUUACACAGCUGGCCUCAUGCUCUCGUGCCUCUGCUGGAAGGAAGGAGAAGGAGUGACAGCCUCCAGAGCUGACUGGUUCACACGGGCAGCAAUCUCCUGCAGCAGAGAUGGGAUAACUGGAAACAUUUUUCUCAAAAUAAGCUUUCAGAUUUUCUUUAUCUUCAACUGGGAAAAGUUAUAAACUCAACCCUUCAACCCUUCACGAGAAUCUCGCAUUUUUAAAUUUUCACCAACGCACCUGCAGCAUUUUCUUCCAACUUUUCUUCAAAACAUAACCUGAUGUUAACUUUCCCAAUUUAAAUGAACACAUUGGCCUUUUAUAAAAUACUGCCAAUGUUAAUAAAAGGAAGCAAUAGAGAAAAGCUCCAAUGAUAACUUUGGCAAAAUAAGAAAAUGUAGCCAGGAAAAGAAAAAAAUCUCAUUUAAGAAAUGCAGCCCUCAACUUUGAACUAAAACCCAUGAAGACACACUUCAUAUAUAGAUAUAUGUUCUGUUAUAAAACAGUUUUUAUUGGGCCAAUUCCCCUAAUUUAUUAAGCAGAAAUUGUUAUGUAAGUUUGUACCAAUAUAAACUUACUCUAUAAAUAUAAAUGUUAACAUAUUACUCAUAACCAUAAAUUUUAGUAGAGUUACCUCAGGGUUUUCACUUAGAUAUAUCUGCUUAGAUAUGUUGUUUAUGGUGCAUAUCCACUGAAAAAGAGGAAGAAAAAAGAAAACAAAUUAAUCUGUUGUGUUUUCUAAACAAUCUUGAUUGAAUACCUGCGCUGCUGUUUCAGCACUUUUUUUACUUUCUUUGUAAAUUCAGGGAGCCAAAUAUUCUGCACACCAAGCUUGUCAUUCAAUUCACUGCCACCUGCAUACUGCACCCUACACUUUAAGAUUUUACUCACAAAAAUUAUUUUAGUCAUACUAAAACUAAAGAAAGCUUAACUUACAACUCUAAGGAAUUUAAAAAAAAACUCAUCAGGAUUCUCUGUUCUUCUUUAUUCUGUACUGCAGAUGACAUUGUUUCCUCACAACAUUAUAAAAAUUCAAUUUGGCUUUUGUGGAAUUUGCUCGUUUCUUGCAUCUGCAAGCUAGAAUCUGCUUUCUCUCUCUGCUCUGGAAAACCAUUUGCUCCUGUUCCUGACUUUUCAAUUUUUAUUUGAAGGAGGAAGCUAACAGGAACACUAAGAUAAGCAAGGUGUUACAAAGAUAAUUUAUUAGUAAGUAAAAACAGAAAAAAAAUGCGGUAUCCAGCUAUGGUUAGGAAUGUAUUCUUUCUGUGGAGCAGAAAAUCACUGGGCUCCAUGCACACCUCCUAUAAGCUUACCUCUUCAUAAUCUUUUUUACUUUCUGCCUGUAAGAUUGAAGACCUGAAAAAGGAGAAUAGAAAACACAGUUUUGUGUAUGUACAAUGCCUCAAAAAUACAGUCAGCCAAGAAAUUACAUUUUCAUAUUUACACUUCAAACAACAAGUUAUGAAAGGCUGAAGACUGUUUGUGCUGAGUGCAGUCAACAUUUAAUUAGGAUGGGGAGGAACCUAUGCUUUCCUUUCAACAGGAAUCAGAAAAGGAACACAAUUCUAAUUGUGUCCAUGUAAUACUUAAGUAUUCAUAAAAUGCAAUAAUAUGUGAUUGUCAACUAAUUACCAUGAUCUUAUUUGGAGAUACUACUCUGCUACAUUAUAGAGCUUAUAAACAAAAAUCCAGUUAACGCAGUUAAAAGGAUAUCCCAGAUUUUGCUUCUAAAUAUCCACAGAAUAUAUCAAGUUAACAUCUGGCCAAAGGCAGACCAUCUUUCUUUUCUUAAUUAAUGAGUCCAGUGUUUCUUACAAGAACCAGCAGUGUAAGAGCACUCACUUUUUGCCAUCAAAAGAUGUGAUCUGAAAGCAGUACCGUCUGUCCUCACAGUCCACAGCCAUCACAGAGCAAUUGUCUAUGUCCAUGACAAGUCCCCCAGCCACAUCUCCUCUUGCCUGGCUCAUCAGAUUUCCACCCUGAGUGAAGUAAAACUGUCUCUCCCAACUGGAAGACACCAGCCCUGUCUUACUAAAAGAUAAAAAGAAGUCUUCAGUUAGUCUUCCUUUUUGCUCAGACUCUGUAACUUUAGUGCUGCAAUUGUGUUCUAAUACAGAAAUGAAUGCCUCAUUCAGUAAGUAUUUUAACUGUUGUUGUCAAAGUAAUCAAUCUUUUUUUUCAAAAUUCCUUGGAGCUUACUGUAUAAAUGACAGUAAAAAAUUUUAAAUGUUACAACUUAUUUUUAAUAGCUCUGAAAACAGCAGUAUGACUUCCUUAGAGGCACAGCCCCCUCCUGUGGACAAUGAGCCACUGCUGCAUGGAAUCCAGAAGCUCCUUCCAAGGGUAUUUUGGCUAACAGAGUGUUUUGCCUUGUUUAGAUCAAAAUUACAAUGUUUUAUUAGUAAUUUGAAUCCCAAAGCUUUAACAGACACUUCCAGAACAAUCCUGAUAGAUGGAAUCUUGUUACUUCCCAAUUAGGAUGCAGAGAAAUUACACUCUCAAGCCCUUUUUUUUUUUAAACUGUGAAAGUUCAGGAAAAUUUAGACUAAAAUCAGGAUAAUUAUGCUUUGCACCUGAAUGACAUUAUAUCAGUGCAACAAUGAUAAUUUAAUAUUAACUAGGUGAAGAAGUCCAAAGAAAGAAAUAAAACAGCUCUUAUGUGACUUAUUCAAUUAAAUGUAUAAAAUCAGCAUAGCUAACAUCUAAGAAAAAAUUCCAGCUUCUUUAGCUUUCCUUUCCCAAAAUUAAAUACUGUGGAAUUUUUAAAUAACAAGUUACUCUUACUUUCUUGCAUUGAGAUAGCCAGCUUUCCGUGUUAGAUUCCUAUGGGCAGGAAAUUUGGCAGGAUCAGGAUCAGGCAAAUACAGUGGAUCACUGGCUACUUCCAAGUCCUCUAUAGUUUGUUGCAUGUUUUCUACUUCACAAUCCAUCUCCCUGCGAACACUGAGAUAAAAAUGUGUUAUUAACAAAGAUAAUUUGUUAAUAAGUAGAAACAUAAAAAAAUAAUCUUCAUAAAAGUUCAAAAUUCAACAAAGCCAACUUACUUCUGUACACUUGUGCCAAUAUUGGUCAAAAAUUCUUCCAGUUGCUCAGUAAGAUUUUCUGAACCCAUUUUAAAAAAGCUUAUCUUUAAAGAAAAAAAGGAGAAAAAGGGAGAAUUUAGUCAUUAAUAAAACUACAUUAACAAUUAACAGAUGGAGUCAUAGGAGGUUAAAGUUUCUCAGAGAAAUCUGUUUUCAUCUCUCAUUCCCACCAAAGCCUCUUACUAAAAGCAGCAGAAUGUGUGUUUGAAGGCUGCUGGUGCACUGCAGUGGCACUUGUGUCACAAGGAUGUGAACAGAGCUGCCUGGAGGAAAUACAGAAACACACAGGAAACACUCCCAGGGCCUCUGUGUCCUUUUUCAGUGCCACCAUUCUGCUGACUGUUGUUAUGGGGGGUUCUUUGGGGCACACAGGAGAGAACCUGUGGGGAUCUGUCCAGGGCCAUCCAUAGGGAACUACCAAUAUGUAUUUUAAGCACAAGGUACUCCAUAAUGGGCCAGAAAAUCUGCCACAGCUAAAUUGAGGUUAGAACAGGAAGCCCUGGGACAUGGCCCUGCCCAUCUGUUUCUUAGAUUCAGCAAAAAGCUCCACCUAAGCAAGUUUGCACUUACUUUACUGCACAAACAUCCAGAACUUGGCUCUUAAAUACAAGCUGCAAAGUUUCAAAAGAAAGCAAGAGUUCUUGCCUUUGGAAAGCUUUCAGACAGUGUUCAGAAGUUGAUUUCUACUCAGGUCACUGUAGCAGUGCCAGAUGCUGGAAAGCUUGGCUUGCAAAAAAACCCAAAGCUCAUGCUUAAUAACAUACUUCCCAAAAUACAAAUUGAGUCUGUCCAAAUAACUUUAUCAUGGUUGUAUUUUCUGUUGCACCCAUCCUCAAGUAAACCAAUCAUGAACUUAUUAAUAUUAAGCAAAACCAAAACAGAAUGUUUUUUAGCAUUCUGGCUCUUCCACAGCCUUGAUUGACAACAGCAGUUUUGUGGCUUUUGAUGAGUAUCUCAUUUCAGAACAGCUGCCAUAGGAAUGAGUUUAACUGUCUCCAUGUUAUUUGCUGAGAAGGUUCAUGUGCACUUGCAUGAAAGCUCUAAUCAGCUCUUACAUUUAGUGGAACCAACUGCCCAGCAGUGAAAAUCUAGGCAAUACAUCAAAUCCAGUUUGAUGAGUUUUGGGGGAAAUGAACAAUUAUAUUUAUCACCCAGACUUUGCUAAAAGACUGCAUGGCAGUGAGGGCAUCUCGUGCAGAGAUUGCUGCAGUGAGUGGGCACUGAGCAGUGCUAACAGCACCAUCAGGGCAGCAGCUGUGGCAGCCCAGCAAACUGCAUGGGUGGCUCUUGGUCUCCAUUUCCUUCCUUGGACUGCAGAAGAGGACUUGCAAUGGAGUUCAGUACAUCAACCUUCAUGAAGUACUUUUAUUUCUUCUUUCAGACCUACAGCUUUCAGAAUCUGAAAUUACCUGAGCUUGCAUGUAUCCUAGCAAGGGUUCUAGCAGAGAAAUCUUCUUUUUGUACUGGAGAGUAUUUAAUGCACAGAAAUAAUGCAUCAUAGUCUGAUGCUGUUUUUUCCUUGAAGUAUAUACAUCUUCUGUAACUUCAGCCUUGAUCUGAAGAGACACAGACAAGGGGAGGGAAAAAAAGGAAUGUUUGAGAUUGGCAUUGAUCACUUGCCUUCUGGACAGCUUUAUAGUCAGCAUGGAAAAACCCAGUCAUGUUCUACCCUCUAUCACCAGCUACUGCAUAUUUUACUAUUCUGCUUCUCUAAUUUAAACAUGAGAUAUGUGAAAAACAAAUACAGCAUUCUUUUCUACCUGGAAACUGUCGUUAUUUCUUCACAAAAACAAACUGAAUAUGACAUCACAGUAUUAUUCCUAAAGCACUGUCAGUGUUACAGGACAGGCAUGUAUUGGAGAAACCUGCUUUUCUGUCUAGACUGCUAAAAGCUAUCAAAUGUCACACAGAAUCUGCCACACACUGUCUUCCAUCAUAAAUACAUAUAUAAGAUGAAAAUUAUUCUUAUCUUCUUUAAAAAUCUUUAUAUUAAGAUUUUGUUUUACAAACCUUUUCAUUUUCCUUUCUUUUUGACAACCGACUGUAUCUGGUAAUGGCAGCAUCAUGGUCUAAGCAAUCAAGAGAGAAUUUAUGAUCAUUUUCACAAAUUAAUGACUUAUGAAACAGAGCAGAAAACCUUUUAUAUUACAGUGUUACACAGAGAGCUGAAUGGAAAGUUGUCAUACUAACACCUUGAGGAAUAGUUCUUGUCUGUUUAUAAUCACUUCACUGCAACAAAUACUUGGGCUGAAGGAAAAUUCUAACCAGAUGCAAAUGUUGCCAAAUUGUUACAAAGUUCCCUAAAUAGCCACUAUUUUUCAAAGAAGAACUGUCCAUUAAGUAGGGAAACUUUACAUUAUGAAAACCUGUACCUAAUCUUUUUUGCUUCUAAAGCAAUGAAACAAUUUUCACCGAGAGAAGUAGAAUCUUAUUUAAAUAAUAAGUUCUCUACAUGGAUAUAUUAGAGGCAGCUAAAAUUUCUGAAUAUCAGGAAGAGAACUAUGAAAUUCAUUCUAGAAAGGUAAUUUUUUUAAAUUGAUCUGGUCCUGUCUUUAAGAAGCAAGCUAGCAUCUUACUCUUUUUAUAAUUUUGGUAGCAUAAUCCUACAUUGUUUAAUAAUCAUACAUACACUUAAGGUUUUGUAAAAAAACUCUUUCAAUUUGCCUUAAUACUUCAGUACACAGAGCAGAGAUUUACAGGUGAACCAAGGAAAGCUGAGUGCCUAAGUAUCACUCAGAAAAAUUACACCUUAAUUAAUUACUUAAAGCCUACAGGCUUAACUCCACUAGUUAAGGAGAAAUAAUAAUCUACAAUAAUACUGUUGUCUUGCAAUAUUGAUAAGACUAAGUACUUUACACUUACCAUUGCUUGCAAUUUGGAAAACUUCUUUUAGAGUUAAUAUCUCUAAAAAAAAACAACAUAUCACAAUUUAAGUAAGUUCUUAUUAAUGUAACGUUCAUGUAUUACAAUUUCUCAUGUAAUGUUUCACUAGUGAGCAAUUGAAGGUACCAUACUGAGCUACCAGCACAGGCACUACAUGGCCAGGGAAGUCUGCUCCUGCCUGGGGCCUGAGGGUCAUUUCUGGGCUUACCAAAGGAAAAAGGAUGAAUUUCUUUUCAGAAGUCUUUGCAAGUCAUCAUCAAUGCAAAUGUGUCACCUGUGGCUCCAGUCUGGGCUCUGGUUUGAGCUGGGGACAUGCAAGCAUGGGAGAUGGGCAGUAUCAAAGCCCAAACCACAGUGGGACUCCUCCUAGCUAAAAUCAGCUGAGUUCCAGCUGGUUAUUGCCUCCCUGUGCCAGGAACUGGAACCAGUACAAAGCCUUACACCUGUUCUGAUCUUGGCUGUGGUUUGUGCCACAUUACAAUACAAACCAGCCAUAAUCAACUUUAUGGUAAAGCAAGAACAACAAAACUUUCCAGGAAGUGCCUACAAAGCUCAUUAAGAAGUGUAGGGUUAAUACAAACUACACCAGCUGGUGGCUACAUCUUGCAGUGGGAAAAUGUCAUUUGGAAUGACUGCCUCAGGGAUGCCUCUUCAGUAAGUACUAACAGGAGAGUUUUCAGGUCCUGAGAAGCAAUAUCAGCCUUGGAAUAGUCAUGAUCCCUUGCUCAAAAAAAAAAAAAACCCAACCAAA